GACACACUCCUACUACCCCUACUUCCCAUACCUAUGGUUUAUAGAAGGCAGCUCUAGUACUGGGUAAUAUUUGUAACUGUGAUGAUUUUUCCGAGUCACUGUUUUUUGGGGAUGUUUUGAGAGAGGCUGUGAGCAAAACAAGGCCUGGAGAUCUUCCCUGGUCAGAUCACGUUACAUUGUAAGGAAAAACAUAUUUUUUUCGGAACAGAACAAUUACACUGGUACCUCAAGUCUGCUGUUUCAACGCAAAGGGAAUCGCUGUGUCUGAAGUAAACGGCGUUCUAUUUUGAAAAAAAAUAAAAAAAAUAGAGUUUGAGUGUUUUUUUGAAUAAUGUUAUUUUGAAGGUGAGAAAUGUACAUCCCAUAAUACUGUAUCUUUAAUGGUCUGUAGAUUCCAAGGAACUUUGAUCUUUCUUGAUGAAAUGUUUUUGUUGUUUUUAAUUUAAUAAAAGGAACAAAGUAUUGAAAAACACAGGAAGUUCUAGCAAUCCAGCAUGUGCAGUACAAAGUACGAUAUUGUAGAAUAAACAACUACACCAGGGGGAGGGGAGGGGAGGAGGGACAUUUUCCUGCAAAAGCAAUGUGCAAAAAAAAGACCUAUUAACCUCAUUGUAAUCUAGCAGUGUGAUUUCAUUUGAAACAUGUGAUAAUGACGAGACAAUUGUUUAACUAAACUGAGUUGACGGUAAAUUGAUGCACUUUACACAAUGCUUUUACGCAAUUAAAAAAUUUACUUGAGAACUCCAUUAAAAUGAAAUAUCUGUGUAUUUACCUGUUAUCUAUUUUGUAAACAUGUYCAUGUGUUGAUAUUUAACGUCUUAUUGACCAAAUAAAUGUUGUCAAUCACCAUUUCGGUGCUGAAUAAACGUCCUAUACUUAACAACACCUAUAUUCAUUUUGUUUUUUUUUCAUUCUGGUUUCUCUGCCAUCAUGUGUAGCCUCCUAAUGUCAGGAAGCCUCUGCGGAAGAAAGGCUCAGUGAUAGGGAACUACAUACUGCAAGACAAGCCAAUCGAAAGGCAGCUGAGCUCGAUCAGCCAAUCAGAGCUGGAGCUGACUUCAGGUGGGAUACCAUCUCACUCGUCCAAGAGAAGACAGACAUUCACAGAACACAGCUGUGACGAUAAUGGACGGACUGAAGCGAUACAGGCCAGACUGACCAGCACCCACCCUCAGAGGGUAUUCAAGGUGGUGUUUUUGGGGAACUCGGGAGUGGGCAAAAGCUCCUUCAUCCACCACUACUGCAAUGGACACUUCCCCAACAACUGGGUAACAC